rnacentral:lncRNA from 1 species
GCUGGGGUAUAAAGAAGUGAACACUUGAAGUGUUAGCAUGUGGUGACUUAUGACUCAGAGUACAGUGGGAGUAUGGUUCCCCAGAAGUCAGGAAAGGGUUCUAGUACACAAUUCCUAAACAGUCACACCCAGGGAACUAAUAUAGUAACCUCCACCACCAUUUACUCAGUUUAGCUUUACCCUGCUGCUAGCUUUAACGGGAUUUUUACUUUCAUCUGGUUAUACACCUACUCGACAACUCGGUCGGUCAGAUCAUUUCACAAAAGGGGAAAAUGAGGCCCAGAGAGUGCAAAUGGGCCCGGAGGGGGAGCACUCACAGCAAGAUUAGUUAAAGCUUGGUUUGGAAGCCUUUCAUGAUAAUCUUAGCCAGAUUUGACAAAGUCUAGUUGAACCAACUGGAUACCUGCUAGAGUGGUUCUAUGGUGAUGUCAGGGAGCUGCUAUAAUGAAAGUAGAUGGAUAUCAGUAAAGAAUGACAAGAAUCCAUAAAAGAUAACUUCCAAGAGAAGUGAUAGUUACAGCAAUAAAGGUUAUGGCUGGAGAUUGUGGACUCCUGUAACUUCUCCAUGUGGGCAGCUGAGACAAGAAGAUCACGAGUUCUAAGCCAUCCUGGGCUACCCAGUGAGAGACUGUCUCAGACAAACAACAUCAAAGACAAAAGGACCUGUGGGAGGGGUGGUGGGCUGCUGGCCUCCGUUGAAUACAUAGCUUUUGAAGUGGAACCUGAAAGACCAGAAGCCAAAUGAAGGCGAAGCUGUGGGGGAAGGGGCAUCAAUAGUUAUGAGAACAGCAAGUACAGAGGCCGGAGCUAAGCUUGUCGUGUUCCACAAGUUCAGGUAUUUCGCUUAAAUGCAGGCGCUCAAGACUGGGGAACAUGUUUCAACCUUUCCAUUCCUCAGGCACUCUCUCAACAAUGGCCAUUGUAAAAGGGAACCCCUUUCUUAAUUUGGAAGGGACCUAUGUUGGGGUGGGGCAGGCAGGACCUUAGGUUGAAUUCUGGCCUUUCAGUGAUCGAGUUACACUUGAGUAUAAACCAAUGUCCAGAACACAUUGGGGUUGGGGCAGCGUCCUGAUUUCAGGUACCCAGGUGCAUGUCUCAGAGUUAGACACUACGAUGGCCAGGAGGAAUUAAUUAACUCCCCAAGAACACACCUCAAAAUGUCAACUUUCCUACCCCAAAUUAUACUUGAAGACCACCCCCUUUACCUUGGCCAGCUCUCAGCGAAAAUGUGUACUUUCCCCAGUCUUUCUCCAAAGAUGGUUUGGCCUCUCUUCUCAGAACUAGAAAACUGAGGCCCAGCACUGAGGCCUGGAAUUACCGAGCACAGGAUCCUGGUUGCCUGGCUCUGAGCAGACUGGUGAUAGAUAGCCACUAGUGUUCACCAGGUUGAUCACUAGGUCCUGUGCCCACUCAGUCUUUGCAGCACUAUCACCACUGCUGCCCACUGCUCUAUCCUUUGUAAUCAAACUCUGGAAAAUGACUGCAUCCUCUCCACCCCGGUUUGGUACCAGUUGACUACAGAAAACCUGACCUGAUCCAAUCAGGAACACCUUUCUACUUUUAUUCAUCCCACUUAUUGUGAACAUUUACACAGAUCCAGGGGGUAAUUAAGUCUUAAUAUCCCAGAUCCUGCCUGUUAAGUAAUAUAUAGCAAUGGUUCUCAACCAUCCUAAUGCUGGGACCAUUUAAUACAGUUCCU